AUGCACGCUGGCGGCGUGCCUAAUACAUGCAAGUCGCGCGAACGGACGAGAAGCUUGCUUCUCUGAUGUUAGCGGCGGACGGGUGAGUAACACGUGGAUAACCUACCUAUAAGACUGGGAUAACUUCGGGAAACCGGAGCUAAUACCGGAUAAUAUUUUGAACCGCAUGGUUCAAAAGUGAAAGACGGUCUUGCUGUCACUUAUAGAUGGAUCCGCGCUGCAUUAGCUAGUUGGUAAGGUAACGGCUUACCAAGGCAACGAUGCAUAGCCGACCUGAGAGGGUGAGCGGACACACUGGAACUGAGACACGGUCCAGACUCCUACGGGAGGCAGCAGGAGGGAAUCUUCCGCAAUGGGCGAAAGCCUGACGGAGCCACGCCGCGUGAGUGAUGAAGGUCUUCGGAUCGUAAAACUCUGUUAUUAGGGAAGAACAUAUGUGUAAGUAACUGUGCACAUCUUGACGGUACCUAAUCAGAAAGCCACGGCUAACUACGUG
rnacentral:rRNA from 1 species